rnacentral:rRNA from 1 species
UACGUAGGGUGCGAGCGUUGUCCGGAAUUAUUGGGCGUAAAGAGCUCGUAGGCGGUUUGUUAAGUCAGGGGUGAAAUCCUGGAGCUCAACUCCAGAACUGCCUUUGAUACUGGCGAUCUCGAGUCCGGGAGAGGUGAGUGGAACUGCGAGUGUAGAGGUGAAAUUCGUAGAUAUUCGCAAGAACACCAGUGGCGAAGGCGGCUCACUGGCCCGGUACUGACGCUGAGGUGCGAAAGCGUGGGGAGCAAACAGG